AUGGAUCCUAACCCACAUGUGUUGUGUUGGAACGUGAGGGGCCUUAACAACCCUGCCAAGAAGCAUGCAGUUAGGGAGUUUGUAGUGGCGGCCAAGGUUAGUCUUGUGUGUCUCCAAGAGACGAAACUAGAUGUAUUCAAUCCUUUCAUCAUUAUGCAAUGCAUUGGCCCAUCGUUCGAUGGGUUUGACUAUGUGCCGGCUGAGGAGACUCGUGGGGGCAUCCUACUUGCUUGGGAUAGCACGGUGCUAUCCGUGCAUAACAUCAUGCGUGACACCAACUCUAUCACAGGGCUCGUUCAUGACAAGGGAGGAUCGACUUGGUGGGUCAGGCGGUGUACGGGCCGCAAGGAGAGGGCCCCAAAACUCAAUUUCUAUGCGAUCUUCAUGCUUUGCGCGCGGCCUGCCCUGGGCCGUGGAUGGUUUUGGGAGACUUCAAUAUGA
rnacentral:rRNA from 1 species